AGCGCCCGCCACCACGCCCGGUUAAUUUUUCCUAUUUUUUAGUAGAAACGCGGUUUCACCCUGUCAGCCUGGAUGGCCUCGAUAUCCUGACCUCAUGAUCCACCCGCCUCAGCCUCCCAAAGUGCUGGGAUUACAGGCGUGAGCCACCCUGCCCAGCCUUUUCAAAGCCUUUAAUAAGAAAAUGUUUCCUGUGAGUAAAUCUCAGGGUAGUGUUUUGGUGGGGAGGAUGCCUCCAAGAGAUGGGGAUGUGGAGCCAGGAUGAGGUAAGGACAGACUACGCUAAAAUUUCCAAAUGUGUUUGAUUAUUUUAUUCCCUUGGCAAAACAUCUUGUAAGACUGAUGCUCUAUGGAUUACAGUUUGUGAAAUAUGUGUCUAAAUUAUGACAGUAAAAACAAUAAAAUAAUUUUCAGGGAGUUUACCAUGAG
rnacentral:lncRNA from 1 species